rnacentral:rRNA from 1 species
UACGUAGGGUGCAAGCGUUGUCCGGAAUUAUUGGGCGUAAAGAGCUCGUAGGCGGUCUGUUGCGUCCGCUGUGAAAACUCGGGGCUUAACCCCGAGCCUGCAGUGGAUACGGGCAGACUAGAGGUAGGUAGGGGAGAAUGGAAUUCCCGGUGUAGCGGUGAAAUGCGCAGAUAUCAGGAAGAACACCAAUGGCGAAAGCAGCUUUCUGGGACGGUACUGACGCUGAGACGCGAAAGCGUGGGGAGCGAUCCGG